UACGUAGGGGGCUAGCGUUAUCCGGAAUUACUGGGCGUAAAGGGUGCGUAGGUGGUUUCUUAAGUCAGAGGUGAAAGGCUACGGCUCAACCGUAGUAAGCCUUUGAAACUGGGAAACUUGAGUGCAGGAGAGGAGAGUGGAAUUCCUAGUGUAGCGGUGAAAUGCGUAGAUAUUAGGAGGAACACCAGUUGCGAAGGCGGCUCUCUGGACUGUAACUGACACUGAGGCACGAAAGCGUGGGGAGCAAACAGGAUUAGAUACCCCGUAGUCCCUGAGCGGGCU
rnacentral:rRNA from 1 species